AUUACUUUUCUUUUACAGCUGAUACACCUCCCAUCUCCUCUCAUUUGCCAUACAGAACAGAACACCGACGAUGGAGAGAGAGAACCAUGUUUGAGAGAGAGAGAGGUAGAGCGUUGCGAGAGUAGACAUAGAAAGAGGGAGCCAACGAUCGACGAUUACGAAGGCGACGAUGGUGGUUCUGUUUUUGGCGAUGGCGGUGACUUCAAGUAACGAAGAUCCGACUAGGGUUCAAGCGACAUUCCGGCUACCCCUUUUUACACUGUAAGUUUGACGUUUUUGAAAGUUCAAGGACAUUCUACGGAAUAGAUUUCUGUUCAGAUCCUUAACUCCGCACAUUCGUCUCCACACAUUUGCAUUAGGGCUUUUUCUCUAUCGAUAACCCUAACUAUGUUCUUCUUUUACUAUCAUACUUAUCGUGAUCUGCAGUUUCACUCUCCUCUUUCCAUCCAAUAUCAAGUGAGUUGAUUAUAUGUUAAAUAUUAUUCUGAUUUGGUUGUUAAUUUUGCUAAUACACUACCGUCAUAUGUGGAUUAUAUGUAUUUUAGUUGUCAUCUUUGCUUACAUUAUUGGGGAUCUUGCGAAUUAUAGACGAUUUUAGGUUCCGAUCUCAAGUCUCAACAUCAUGCAAAUUAACUCUCUAAUUUCAGGGUUUUUGUUGUUCGCGUUAUGAUUGGUAAAAUCUAGAUUAUGAAAUUAGGGUUUGGUUUGUGUACUGCAGUUACUAUAUGACAUUAAAGUUAAUUAAUAUGUGAAAAAAAAAACCAUUUGCAGGUUCACCAGGAGUGGGGUUCAUGCCGCAUAUCCUUGAUGUUGCUGGAGAGGUUCAACCUUGACCCUUUAAUGUUUCUUUCUUUGGUAUAAUUUGUUUAUGUUUUUUUACUACUACAUUUGUAUGGUAAUAAUUGAUUCAGACCAAGACUCUAACACUGGGCCUCUCUCUGUAUUGAUGAUGAGUGUCAAGAAUAAUACACAGGUAGUUAAAGGUUCAAGGUGCAACCAACAAUAUACUCAAUGUGGAUGCAACUCGGAGUGUGGAAAGGAUUGCCCCUGCUUAAACAAUUCCCCUGCUGUGAAAAGUAUUGUGGGUAUGUAUUAUGAGUUUAAGAAGUGAUGUCAGCAUCGUUCUUUUAAGAGACAUACAUGCGCACCCAGUUGAAUAUGCCAUAUGUUACUAAAAUCGAUGAUAUAAUACAAAGUAACUGGUGGAUGGUUGACAUAUUAAGACAAAGCUUGCAUAUCAUCAGUUACAACAACAACGACAGGAAGAAGAAACAACUUAGGUGACUUUCAUUUCACUUGGAUGUUGUGCUAAUAUGGCUUUUCUGGAUGUUAGUAUCCCAGCUCUACCCAUGUAUAUAAAUUAUCAAGGGUUGUUUAAUAUGUAACUUUCAUUUCACUUGGAAGGAAAAAUAUAGAGAUGGAAACUUGAUCUUUCACAUUACUAAUCUUAAUUUAUUUUUCAGUUUUGUAUGUUACUUUUCAUCAACUUUUAAUUUGAUACAUCUAAACAUAGCAACUCACUAGCAAGAUGCUAGAAACAGGUGAAUCAUUUAAAAAAACUUAGCUUUUUCUCUUGCAAAAGCUUAACUUUUAAUUAUACCAUCUUUUUCAUUUAAAAAAGUAUUAUAUCAUUCAAACGUAUUAUGUAUCCGUUCACUUCGCUCCAUGAAUGAUAAAAAUUGUAUAUGAGGGCUGCUGCACGUACAACUUUGUUUCAACUACAAUUUCUCUUGCAAAAUGUUUGACAAAGCCUAGCAUUUACAUUCCUAUCAAGAUACAAAAGGUACCUUGGCUGCUACAGUUGAAGAAACGUAGGCGAUGUCUUAUUUGCGGGUUAGACACCUUUCCGGGGUACUGGCGCAAUAUGGGUCAAGUAGGGUAGUGCAACUUGCUGGGUAUUACUGAUGCCUGUAAAAUUUAGUUUAAUAUGUUUGUUUUCCUUUUUGCUUCCUUUGGUGUACUGUGGCGAGCCAUUUGGCUUGU